AGUGAACGCUGGCGGUAGGCCUAACACAUGCAAGUCGAACGGCAGCACAGUAAGAGCUUGCUCUUACGGGUGGCGAGUGGCGGACGGGUGAGGAAUACAUCGGAAUCUACUUUUUCGUGGGGGAUAACGUAGGGAAACUUACGCUAAUACCGCAUACGACCUACGGUGAAAGCAGGGGAUCUUCGGACCUUGCGCGAUUGAAUGAGCCGAUGUCGGAUUAGCUAGUUGGCGGGGUAAAGGCCCACCAGGGCGACGAUCCGUAGCUGGUCUGAGAGGAUGAUCAGCCACACUGGAACUGAGACACGGUCCAGACUCCUACGGGAGGCAGCAGUGGGGAAUAUUGGACAAUGGGCGCAAGCCUGAUCCAGCCAUACCGCGUGGGUGAAGAAGGCCUUCGGGUUGUAAAGCCCUUUUGUUGGGAAAGAAAAGCAGCAGGUUAAUACCCCGCUGUUCUGACGGUACCCAAAGAAUAAGCACCGGCUAACUUCGUG
rnacentral:rRNA from 1 species